rnacentral:misc_RNA from 1 species
GAUGAAGAACGCAGCGAAAUGCGAUAAGUAAUGCGAAUUGCAGAAUUUCCGUGAGUCAUCGAAUCUUUGAACGCACAUUGCGCCCGCUAGUAUUCUGGCGGGCAUGCCUGUUCGAGCGUCAUUUCAACCAUCAAGCUCCUUAGCUUGUGUUGGGGACCUGCGGCUGCCGCAGCCCCCGAAAUGCAGUGGCGGGCUCGUUGUCACACCGAGUGCAGUAAUCAUUCUUCUCUCCGGGCGUGGCGGCGGGUUCCGGCCGUAAAAUCACCAAUUUAUCAAGGUUGACCUCGGAUCAGGUAGGAAUACCCGCUGAACUUAAGCAUAUCAAUAAGCGGAGGA